CUCUGCUACUUCUAAACCUAGGACACAGUGCUGUUGUUACAAUUAGCAACAAUUUUAGGCUACAUUUACUUAGUCGGGGGCUGAGGAGAUGACUGCAGCGCUACAAGACUUACUAAUCUUGCAGAAGACUGUUCCCCGACACCCACAUUAGGUGACUCAGCAUUGCCUGUAACUCCAGCUCUAGCUUCCUGAUACAGGUUUUCACGGCACUGAGUUUGGAAAUCCCUUCCCGAUGAGUCCACCCAUCCCACUUGGCCUCGCCUCUGAGAUUACACAACCCUGGCAAAUCUGUGUUUGUGUCAUUCAUGGCGUGGUUGAAAUGGCUGUAAAUGAGCAGCAUCUCUUCGUCCGUUGGUUUCAUCUUGAGGUUCAGAAGUGCCAUUCAUUAUCAUCAAGGCAGGAGCAUGAC